UUUGCAUUAAUUUCUUGAGAGAAAUCACAUGUUUAAAAAAAUACAGUUACUUUGAAAGAAAUUCCACGCUGGUAGUGUUGCUGUGGCCUUCCCAAGGUAUGUCCCUCUGCCUCUGGUGCUGUUGGGAACACCUGGAGGAAAGAUUUAAGAAGAUCUAGAAGCCACGGUGACUCAGACGGUAAAGCAUCUGCCUGCAAUGUGGGAGACCGGGGGUUCGAUUCUUGGGUCGGGAAGAUCCCCUGGAGAAAGAAAUGGCAAUCCACUCCAGCACUCUUGCCUGGAAAAUGUCUCAAAGAGUUGGACACGACUGAGCAACUUCACUUCAGUUAGUUAGGGCUUCCCUUGUGGCUCAGCUGGUAAAGAAUCCACCUGCAAUGUGAAAGACCGGGGUUCGAUCCCUGGGUUGGAAAGAUCCCCUGGAGGAGGGCAUGGCAACUCACUCCAGUAUUCUUGCCUGGAGAAUUCCAUGGACUGUUUAGUCUGUGGGGUCCCAAAGAGUCAGACAUGACUGAGCAAGUUUCACUUUUACUUUCUUUCACUUCAGGUUAGUUAAGAGCUUCCCUGAUGGCUCAGAUGGUAAAGCGUCUGCCUACAAUGCAGGAGACCCAAGUUCAAGUCCUGGGUCAGGAAGAUCCCCUGGAGGAGGAAAUGGCAACUCACUCCAGUAUUCUUGCCUGGAAAAUUCUGUGUGCCGAGGAGCCUGGCGGGCUACAGCCUAUGGUGUCACAAAGAGUUGGACACGAUUGAGUGACUAACACUUGCACUUACACUAAUUAUUCAGGUUGAUCACCUUGGCGGUACUUGGAUGGCAUCACUGACUCAAUGGACGUGAGUUUGAGCAAACUCCGGGAGAUGGUGAACGACUGGGAAGCCUGGUGUGCUGCAGUUCGUGGGGUUGCAGAGUCGGGCACGACUGAGCGCCUGAACAACAACGAAUCUUGGUGCUGGAGCUCCGCAGAGAGUGAAGAGCCCAUUCUGGACAGUGUGAAAAACCAGCUGUCUCUGAAAGCUAUCACGUGAGAACUAAGAAAGCACAGCCCCCCAGUUAAACAAAACAAAACUUCAGGCGGAUCCUUUGAGGAGCAGUGUUCUUUGCCAGCCAAGGCACCCUUGUGUGUUUCUGGACUCUGUCUCUGCGUCAUCGUUUAUUUCACUGGCCCUCCCCUGGAGUUUGGCAGGCGUUAGCUAAGAAUCUUUGCUUGCAAUAUUGCUUUAAUUAUUGGGACAUAUAUCCCCCUUUGAACAUUCAUUGCUUUAGUAUGUUGCCUUGCCUGAAAUAACGCUAUUCUUCUAUUGCUUUUUUCUUCCAGAAUAUGGAUCGUUUCAUAGCCUUCAGACAAUGUGGCAACUUUUUUUUUUUUUGGCUGUGCAUCAUGGCUUGUGGGAUCCUAGUACCCCGAGCAAGGAUUUGAACCACCACCCCUCUACCCGCCCCCACAUUGGAAGAGCAGAGUCUUAACCACUGGACCAGCAGGGAAUUCCCCAGUGUUGCAAUUUUUAGUAUUACUCAAUGGACUUAGUAUACCGUAGUGUUUCACAAGUUGGUUUCACUAUAUUCAUACUCUCCUUUUCAUGUCGUUUUCUGCAGGGGUAAUUGCUUUCUUGUGCUUUCAUCCCAGAAAGUCCAGUCUAGCAGAAAUUGGACUGCCUUGAUGUAAUCCUUGCUCUCAGCAGCAAAGACAUCCACGGGAUCACCCAGCUCGUUCCUGGUUUCCCAGAUGUCCUCUGGGGCAGCCUUAACCAGAAGUCUUUGGUUUAAAGGCUUUGUUCUAAAAAAAAUAAAUAAAGCUUCGUUCUUAUUAAGGGGAACCAGGGCUGCAUGAAGAAAAGUUAUGACCAACCUCGACAGCAUAUUGAAAAGCAGAGACAUUACUUUGCCAACAAAGGUCCAUCUAGUCAAAGCUGUGGUUUUACCAGUAGUCAUGUAUGGACGUGAGAGUUGGACUCUAAAGAAAGCUGAGUGCUGAAGAAUGGAUGCUUUUGAACUGUGGUGUUGGAGAAGACUCUUGAGAGUCCCUUGAAAUGCAAGGAGAUUCAACUAGUCUAUCCUAAAGGAGACUAGUCCUGGGUGUUCAUUGGAAGGACUAAUGCUGAAGCUGAAACCCCAAUCCUUUGGCCACCUGAUGCAAAGAACUGACUCAUUUGAAAAGACCCUGAUGCUGGGAAAGAUUGAGGGCAGGAGGAGAAGGGGCUGACAGAGGAUGAGAUGGUUGGAUGGCACCACCGACUCAACGGACAUGAGUUUGAGUAAACUCCAGGAGUUGGUGAUGGACAGGGAGGUCUGGUGUGUUGCAGUCCAUGAAGUUGCAGAGUCAGGCAUGCCUGAGCGACUGAACUGAACUGAACUGAGGGCUUCCUGGAAUGAGGGACACACAGACUCACACCUGAGCAGUCUUAGAGCAAAUGUAGUUCCUGUGUUUAAAGAAAACAGAGCUGUUUCUGAAACAUGAGAUUGAUUCCUGCACCUCUGGCAAUUAGCUGCUACCCUCCAUGCAGGGAGAUGAAGCUUUAAUUCACAGUGCAGGCUGCACUCAGAACAUCUUACACACCCCCGGCUUCAUUGGCUUCGUUUCUGCUAUCGUGUCAGCUGUGGUGGGCAUGCAGGGGAUGGUUGAUAAGUUGUGCAAGUGUAGAUAGGCUGUGGGCUUCCCUGGUGGCUCAGCGGUCCAGAAUCCACCUGCGAUGCAGGAGACGUGCAUUUGAUCCCUGGGUCUGGAAGAUCCACUGGAGGGGAAACUGGCAACCCACUCCAGUAUUCUUGCCUGGGAAAUCCCAUGGACAGAGGAGCAUGGCGGACUACAGUCCAUGCGGUCUCAAAGAGUCAGUCAUGACGGAGUGACUGAGCACGCACAUCGUAGGCUGUGACCCCUAGAAUAAUUUUAGUAUCUUCAUAUUUCAUUACAGAUAGAUUCAGUACAUAAUUGGGCUAUGGGACAACUGAAAGUUAUGACCAACCUAGACAGCAUAUUCAAAAGCAGAGACGUUACUUUGCCAACAAAGGUCCAUCUAGUCAAGGCUAUGGUUUUUCCUGUGGUCAUGUAUGGAUGUGAGAGUUGGACUGUGAAGAAGGCUGAAGAAUUAAUGCUUUUGAACUGUGGUGUUGGAGAAGACUCUUGAGAGUCCCUUGGACUGCAAGGAGAUCCAACCAGUCCAUUCUGAAGAUCAGCC
ensembl:lncRNA